UGGAUCAUGUGCUGGCCAAGCGCGGCCAGCGCACGACCAUCGUGGUUGCGACCUCGGGCGACACCGGCGGCGCCGCGGUCGAUGCUUUUGCCGGCCGCGACAACGCCGAUCUCAUUGUGCUGUUUCCGAACGGGCGGAUUUCCGACGUGCAGCGGCGCAUGAUGACCACCAGCGGUGCGGCCAAUGUUCAUGCGCUGGCGAUCGAAGGUAACUUCGAUGACUGUCAGGGAAUCGUGAAGGGCCUGUUCAAUCAUCACAAGUUCCGCGAUUCCGUCUCGCUGUCGGGCGUGAAUUCGAUCAACUGGGCGCGCAUCGUCGCGCAGGUGGUUUAUUACUUCACGUCGGCGG
rnacentral:misc_RNA from 1 species